rnacentral:sRNA from 1 species
AGGUCCGCGGGAGGAUGGAGCAGUGAGCGGGUCUGGGCGGCUGCCGGCAGCGCCAUGGAGACGGUACAGCUGAGGAACCCGCCGCGCCGGCAGCUGAAAAAGUUGGAUGAAGAUAGUUUAACCAAACAACCAGAAGAAGUAUUUGAUGUCUUAGAGAAACUUGGAGAAGGGUGAGUGUAAAGAAACUAUGGGUAGACCAUUGGGUCCCAGUCUUUUUCCUGCCCCAGAAGAAGCAGAAGGAUAUGAACCUUUCAGCAUUGCUCUAGGUGGGGUGGAAGGUAAAUUUACAGCUUGUGAUGUCCUUCUUCGCUUUACUCCAAUCACUAUUAUAGACAGAUUUAGUGAUUCCCGGUCUUUUUAACACGAAGAAUAUCUAUUGUUUUCUCUUUUGUAGAAUCUGUUUGAUUUUAUCUACUUAACAGAUAGCACUAAUUAGAUUAUAAUUCUAUAAGAAAUUUUUUAAUUUGCUGUUCAUAAUUUCUGAUUGGUAUGCAAUAACUGUUUCAAUGAAAAUCAAUGUAAUUUACUAUUUUAUUAUUUGCACCUUUGUGAAAUAUAGUAAAUAAAUCAAGCACUAUCACCAGCUUCGCAGCUACUUAGGAGAUCCACAAUCCUGGGUUGGGAGCCAGUGGAUUUCCUGAAACACAGAUUUGUUAAUGCGUUUAUAAAAUACUGAUUAAAUGAUAUUAGUAAUGUGUAGUGACCAUCAUUGACUUUCAUGAUACAAUUACAUAAUUUUUAUACUUUUAAAUAUCAUUUUAAUUCAAUCCUGUGUAUUUAUUCCUUCUUCUGUAAUGACCAGGAAAUUAAAAUGUUAAUAACACCAUUUCUUAAGUUUUUCUUGUUAAUUUUUGAAUAGGUGAUACAAUCAUAUGAUUCAAAAUUUAAAAAAAUAUUAAGACGCAUACAAUUAAAAAAAAAAAAA